rnacentral:lncRNA from 1 species
AUUUUAUCAGUUUAAUUGUGUUUGGCACAUGUUUAACAUAAUUUUACAAAUUUAUGCUGUAACACUGACGGACACUGCGGCCUAAGGGUAUAUAUCUGAUAAGGAAGUUGAUACAGUCUUCACUUUAAUUUCACAACGCCCGUCUAUUUUGUUUUCCGACAGCCUGUAUUUCGCCAUUUUUUUCAUCGUAACUUUUAACUUUAUUUCGGAGUAUAUUCUACAACCGGAGAAAUAUAUUACAGACAGGGUUCAGAAGGAAAGAUGCAUUUCAAGAGACGAUGUGUCCAUCUAUUUGUCCUCCUGGUAGCCUAUGGUUCACUCAUUCUCGUCGCUCGAUGGACUUUCUUCACACAAAUGUGGACAGUAAUGGCAGAUGAACCUAAUGUUGACGGCAAUCAUGCGCAUGCGCUGAAUCUAGACUUCACUGUACCCAAACGGACACAAAGGCAUGUGAAAGAAGCUGAUAUCGAGUUUCAGGAUCUAAAGUCCGGAAAAAAUACCCAUGGAUCAUGGAUCAAGCCGGAAUUUUCACGUGUUCUUAGGAGUGACUACAUAGCCAGGGUUAGCAAACGGCACCAGCUUUUACAGAAUAUUUUUACAAAUUUCCUACAUCCGUAAUUUACGACGUGCAAAUAAUAUAUCAAGUAUGAUCAGUCAGAAACAGGCCGUGCUUUAUGCACACCCAGAAAUGAAACCGACUGAAAUCCUUGGAUAUCUUGAUUUUUCAGAGAUAUCUGUUGGGAUGUACGGAGUAUGUUCAACCGUAUUGUCGGAAACUAGACCAAUGUGCUUCUUUCAUAUUGUUCUGAUGAAAACUUGCAGUGAGUUUUAUUGUCACAUAUCAGCAAGUUCGCCCUUAAAAGGUCAUAGCACGGGACCGUGGGAAUACGUUAAAGUGUACUCCGAUAGCCUGAACCAAUGUUAAGAAAAUAAACAUGGGACUAUUGCUUGAACAGCUACAAUUUAGUGUUUUUAUGUUUAUGAGUAGACCAUGAAAUUGCCAAUAAAAAGACAUAAUCUGAAUUACUAGUAUGAAAUGUUACUUUGCCCAGUAUUUAUAUUUUGCCCAAUAUUUAGAAUUUCCCGACCUCCGUGAACGUGCCUAUUUCGAAUCUUUUCCGGGUAUUUCAAAUCACUAUUGCUGUUAUUCAUUUCUUCCUGUAGAUAUCUAACUACGGACGCUAGAAAAUGAAAUAGGCUAUGAUACGCCGUUUGCGUCAAAAGUCUGAAAUCAUUCGAUCAAUACCAUGAUACACGUUGAACGUAUAUUUUACCCGGGACAAUGUUAAGACGGUAAAGAAUACAGUACUAUUUAACAUUUCAAAUGAACGAGAUAGUAUUGGUGAAUAAUAUAGAGUGACGAUUGAGAACUGAGGCACAUGUUAUGAAUAAACAAGGCAGUCUGAAAGACAGCUAAAUCCCCCGCCA